GACGACGCUGGCGGCGUGGAUUAGGCAUGCAAGUCGAACGGUAUCAGUCCUUUCGGGGGUGAGAGAGUGGCGAACUGGUGAGUAAUACAUCGGAACGUGCCCGAUCGUGGGGGAUAACGGAGCGAAAGCUUUGCUAAUACCGCAUACGAUCUACGGAUGAAAGCAGGGGACCGCAAGGCCUUGCGCGGACGGAGCGGCCGAUGGCAGAUUAGGUAGUUGGUGGGAUAAAAGCUUACCAAGCCGACGAUCUGUAGCUGGUCUGAGAGGACGACCAGCCACACUGGGACUGAGACACGGCCCAGACUCCUACGGGAGGCAGCAGUGGGGAAUUUUGGACAAUGGGCGCAAGCCUGAUCCAGCCAUGCCGCGUGCAGGAUGAAGGCCUUCGGGUUGUAAACUGCUUUUGUACGGAACGAAAAGACUCUUUCUAAUAAAGAGGGUCCAUGACGGUACCGUAAGAAUAAGCACCGGCUAACUACGUG
rnacentral:rRNA from 1 species